ensembl:misc_RNA Y_RNA Y RNA
GGCUGGUCCAAGUGCAGUGGUGUUUACAACUAAUUGAGCACAACCAGUUACAGAUUCCUUUGUUCCUUCUCCAUUCUCACUGCUUUGCUUGACUGGUCUAAA